rnacentral:rRNA from 1 species
CCUACGGGAGGCAGCAGUGGGGAAUAUUGCACAAUGGGGGAAACCCUGAUGCAGCGACGCCGCGUGAGCGAAGAAGUAUUUCGGUAUGUAAAGCUCUAUCAGCAGGGAAGAAAAUGACGGUACCUGACUAAGAAGCCCCGGCUAACUACGUGCCAGCAGCCGCGGUAAUACGUAGGGGGCAAGCGUUAUCCGGAUUUACUGGGUGUAAAGGGAGCGUAGACGGUCUGGCAAGUCAGAUGUGAAAGCCCGGGGCUCAACCCCGGGACUGCAUUUGAAACUGUAGGGCUGGAGUGUCGGAGAGGUAAGCGGAAUUCCUAGUGUAGCGGUGAAAUGCGUAGAUAUUAGGAGGAACACCAGUGGCGAAGGCGGCUUACUGGACUGUAACUGACGUUGAGGCUCGAAAGCGUGGGGAGCAAACAGGAUUAGAUACCCGAGUAGUC